rnacentral:lncRNA from 10 species
GUUUUACAGGUGCUCCUUUGUCAGGAUUCCAUCUAGGGCAGUACAUUAUAUUUACUCUUCGUAUUUCCUCAGUCUCCUUUGGGCUAUGACAGUUUUUCAGAUUUUCCUUGUUAUCGAUGACCUUGACAGUUUUAGGGAAUAUUGGUAGUAUUUUGUACAAUGCUCUUCUAAUGAUGUGGUGGGAUGAAUGUUUGUCAUUCCCCCCAGAUUCAUAUGUUUCUGAAAUCCUAACCCUCAAUGUGAUGAUAUUAGGGGGUGGGGCCUUUGGGAGAUGAUUAGGCCAUGAGAGUGGAGCUCUCAUGAACAAGAUUAAUGUCCUUAUAAAAGAGACCCCAGAGAGCUAACUUGUCCUUUCCACCAAGAAGAUGGCUGUCUAUGAACCAAAAAGAGGGCACCCACCAGACACCGAAUCUGCUGACACCUUGAUCUUGGACUUCCCAGCCUCCAGAG